rnacentral:lncRNA from 1 species
AUUCAGAUUUUGAGACGGAGGGUAGAGCCUAGACCAGCCUGGAGGUGAGGCAUGCCCUCCCCUAAGCCAGAUCUUUAUCUUGAUUGUAAAGACAAUGUUUCUUGACCAGCUGGAGGU